rnacentral:rRNA from 1 species
GAGUGAAAUAGAACCUGAAACCGUGUGCUUACAAGUAGUCAGAGCCCGUUAAUGGGUGAUGGCGUGCCUUUUGUAGAAUGAACCGGCGAGUUACGAUUUGAUGCAAGGUUAAGCAGUAAAUGUGGAGCCGUAGCGAAAGCGAGUCUGAAUAGGGCGUUUAGUAUUUGGUCGUAGACCCGAAACCAGGUGAUCUACCCUUGGUCAGGUUGAAGUUCAGGUAACACUGAAUGGAGGACCGAACCGACUUACGUUGAAAAGUGAGCGGAUGAACUGAGGGUAGCGGAGAAAUUCCAAUCGAACCUGGAGAUAGCUGGUUCUCUCCGAAAUAGCUUUAGGGCUAGCCUCAAGUGAUGAUUAUUGGAGGUAGAGCACUGUUUGGACGAGGGGCCCCUCUCGGGUUACCGAAUUCAGACAAACUCCGAAUGCCAAUUAAUUUAACUUGGGAGUCAGAACAUGGGUGAUAAGGUCCGUGUUCGAAAGGGAAACAGCCCAGACCACCAGCUAAGGUCCCAAAAUAUAUGUUAAGUGGAAAAGGAUGUGGCGUUGCCCAGACAACUAGGAUGUUGGCUUAGAAGCAGCCAUCAUUUAAAGAGUGCGUAAUAGCUCACUAGUCGAGUGACACUGCGCCGAAAAUGUACCGGGGCUAAACAUAUUACCGAAGCUGUGGAUUGUCCUUUGGACAAUGGUAGGAGAGCGUUCUAAGGGCGUUGAAGCAUGAUCGUAAGGACAUGUGGAGCGCUUAGAAGUGAGAAUGCCGGUGUGAGUAGCGAAAGACGGGUGAGAAUCCCGUCCACCGAUUGACUAAGGUUUCCAGAGGAAGGCUCGUCCGCUCUGGGUUAGUCGGGUCCUAAGCUGAGGCCGACAGGCGUAGGCGAUGGAUAACAGGUUGAUAUUCCUGUACCACCUAUAAUCGUUUUAAUCGAUGGGGGGACGCAGUAGGAUAGGCGAAGCGUGCGAUUGGAUUGCACGUCUAAGCAGUAAGGCUGAGUAUUAGGCAAAUCCGGUACUCGUUAAGGCUGAGCUGUGAUGGGGAGAAGACAUUGUGUCUUCGAGUCGUUGAUUUCACACUGCCGAGAAAAGCCUCUAGAUAGAAAAUAGGUGCCCGUACCGCAAACCGACACAGGUAGUCAAGAUGAGAAUUCUAAGGUGAGCGAGCGAACUCUCGUUAAGGAACUCGGCAAAAUGACCCCGUAACUUCGGGAGAAGGGGUGCUCUUUAGGGUUAACGCCCAGAAGAGCCGCAGUGAAUAGGCCCAAGCGACUGUUUAUCAAAAACACAGGUCUCUGCUAAACCGUAAGGUGAUGUAUAGGGGCUGACGCCUGCCCGGUGCUGGAAGGUUAAGAGGAGUGGUUAGCUUCUGCGAAGCUACGAAUCGAAGCCCCAGUAAACGGCGGCCGUAACUAUAACGGUCCUAAGGUAGCGAAAUUCCUUGUCGGGUAAGUUCCGACCCGCACGAAAGGCGUAACGAUUUGGGCACUGUCUCAACGAGAGACUCGGUGAAAUCAUAGUACCUGUGAAGAUGCAGGUUACCCGCGACAGGACGGAAAGACCCCGUGGAGCUUUACUGUAGCCUGAUAUUGAAAUUCGGCACAGCUUGUACAGGAUAGGUAGGAGCCUUUGAAACGUGAGCGCUAGCUUACGUGGAGGCGCUGGUGGGAUACUACCCUAGCUGUGUUAGCUUUCUAACCCGCACCACUUAUCGUGGUGGGAGACAGUGUCA